rnacentral:tRNA from 3 species
GGACGUUUAGCUCAGCAGGUUAGAGCAGGGAACUCAUAAUUCUCAGGUCGACGGUUCAAAUCCGUCAUCGUCCACCA